CAUGCAUGUCUAAGUGCAAGCUGUCUCGUACAGUGAAACCGCGAAAGGCUCAUUAAAUCAGUUAUGGUUCCUUAGAUCGUACCCACGUUACUUGGAUAACUGUGGUAAUUCUAGAGCUAAUACAUGCCGAUAGAGUUCUGACCGCCGGUUGGGAAUGUUAACGAGUCUCUCGUUAAGUCCCAUCGUUCGGAAGGAACGCUUUUAUUAGAUCAAAACCGGCCAGACCGCGUGUUCACUCGCAUUUUUGCGUGUAAAUGCGUGGUAAGCGGCCCGCGCAAAGACUUGGUGACUCUGAAUAACUUUGAGCUGAUCGCACGGUCUUAGCACCGGCGACGCAUCUUUCAAAUGUCUGCCUUAUCAACUGUCGACGGUAGGUUCGACGCCUACCGUGGUGGUAACGGGUAACGGGGAAUCAGGGUUCGAUUCCGGAGAGGGAGCCUGAGAAACGGCUACCACAUCCAAGGAAGGCAGCAGGCGCGCAAAUUACCCACUCCCAGCACGGGGAGGUAGUGACGAAAAAUAACGAUACGGGACUCAUACGAGGCCCCGUAAUCGGAAUGAGUACACUUUAAAACMUKKSUCA
rnacentral:rRNA from 1 species